rnacentral:misc_RNA from 1 species
UUAAGUUCAGCGGGUAUCCCUACCUGAUCCGAGGUCAAAGUAAAAAAAGGCUUGUGGAAGGGGGUCUGCUGAAAUCGCUUGCAAUGUGCUGCGCACGAAGCCAACAUACCUGCUGCCAAUGAAUUUAAGGCGAGUCCACACGCUGAGGCGGAACAAACACCCAACACCAAGCAGAGCUUGAAGGUUUAAAUGACGCUCGA